rnacentral:rRNA from 1 species
UAGGUAGUGGCAAGAAAUAACAAUACGGGGCUUAAUGUCUUGUAAUUGGAAUGAUGGGAAUUUAAACCUCUUCCAGAGUAUCAAUUGGAGGGCAAGUCUGGUGCCAGCAGCCGCGGUAAUUCCAGCUCCAAUAGCGUAUAUUAAAAUUGUUGCAGUUAAAAAGCUCGUAGUUGAAUUUCUGCUGCAUUGCAUCUUCUUUUUGAUGAGUUGGUGUAUUGUGGCUUAUUUCGGAUGAUACUUGUAUUAUCCGGAUGAUUACUUUGAGAAAAUUAGAGUGCUCAAAGCAGGCUUUUGCCUUGAAUAGUUUAGCAUGGAAUAAUAAAGUAGGACUUUGGUUCUAUUUUGUUGGUUUUAGGUACCAAAGUAAUGGUUAAUAGGAACAGUUGGGGGCAUUCGUAUUUAACUGUCAGAGGUGAAAUUCUUAGAUUUGUUAAAGACGAACUACUGCGAAAGCAUUGCCAAGGAGU